CGAGAUUAAUUAAAGAUCAAAUAUUAAAUAGUGUAUUCUUAAUUACAUACAUAUUAAAUUCUUAAUCAGACCCAAUAAUAAAGAGUCCAUAAUAAUUAUAUAAAUAAACACAUAUUCCAAAAGUUAAGUACCAUCCGAGAUCGAAAUGCCUUUUGCAGGUACCAUCCGAGAUCAAAGUUUAUUGAGACAAAGAGUGGAAGAGUGAGAGGUGCAUAAGAAGUUCAUUCGAGAGGAAACCGAGAAACAGUGAAAUCGUUAUUUUGAUUUCUACUUAGUUCGAGAACAAUUGGCGUCCACCUAAAAGAAAAAUUGAAAAAUGAAAAAAUUAGAUGUUAUCUACACCAAACAUGAUGAAGAAGAACAAAUAAUAAGGACCAAAAUAUAUUUUGUAGGGUAUAGUUGUUGACUUAACAAGAUCGAAAUCUAAGAUGGUAUAGAAUAUUGUGUGGAAAAUGUCCAUUUUUGUUUUGAAAAAGUAAAGGAAUAGAGUAGAGGCAAAUGAAGAAUAGGCAAAGGCAACUUUUUGUCAUUCUUUCACUGGAAAAGGGCUUUUAGGUUUGAAAUGGCAUUGGGUCUAAAAGAGGGGAAAGAAAGAAAAACAGUAGUAGUAUAGUGCAGUGAGGCACUGAGGCUAUUCAGUGGUUGGUCCCUCCUAAUGGAAAAAAGAAUUAGUAGUUAAUUAUGAUUAGGGAUAGAAGAUUAUGAUGGUGAUGAGGAAGAGGAAGAGGAAGAGAAAAUGAAAAUGGGUGUGAUGAAAAGGUUGAGAAGGCAAUGUUCCCUUAACUCCCAACAAGAUAGAGUCUCUCAGACCACGCCACACUUCUUCUUCUGCUUCUUCUGCCUCUGUCUCUGCUUCUUCUGCCUUUGCUUCUUUGCUUAGGUUCCAUCAAACUCACUUUUUGUUUGGACUCUGUGCACUCUCUAUUCUAUUAUUCUAUUCUUCUAUUAUUCUAUUCUGAAUAAGACUCAACCCUCUCUCACCUUACCCUCCCUAGGCAAAACCAAAACCAAAACCUUCACACCAUUUAAC
rnacentral:lncRNA from 1 species